rnacentral:rRNA from 1 species
UACGAAGGGGGCUAGCGUUGUUCGGAAUUACUGGGCGUAAAGCGCACGUAGGCGGACUAUUAAGUCAGGGGUGAAAUCCCGGGGCUCAACCCCGGAACUGCCUUUGAUACUGGUAGUCUCGAGUCCGGAAGAGGUGAGUGGAAUUGCGAGUGUAGAGGUGAAAUUCGUAGAUAUUCGCAAGAACACCAGUGGCGAAGGCGGCUCACUGGCCCGGAACUGACGCUGAGACGCGAAAGCGUGGGGAGCAAACAGG